UACGUAGGGUGCGGCGUAAUUCGAAUCGAUACUGGGCGUAAAGCGUGCGCAGGCGGUGAUGUAAGACAGAUGUGAAAUCCCCGGGCUCAACCUGGGAACUGCAUUUGUGACUGCAUCGCUGGAGUGCGGCAGAGGGGAUGGAAUUCCGCGUGUAGCAGUGAAAUGCGCAGAUAGUCGGGAAGAACACCCGUGGCGAAGGCGGCUCUCUGGAACGCAACUGACGCUGAGACGCGAAAGCGUGGGAGCAAACAGG
rnacentral:rRNA from 1 species